rnacentral:snoRNA from 1 species
AAGACUAUACUUUCAGGGAUCAUUUCUAUAGUUAUUAACUAAGAAAUGUGUUUCAGAAAUGUUGUCUCCCAAACCACAAUGAUGAGAUUUGAUACUCUUUUCUGAGCGUGAAUUGGGUGUGAAGUAAUGAUUCAUUUCAUAAGCUUUACAUCAUUGAUGAACAUUCCUUAUUGCAUUUUGUCAAUGAAGAAGAAGAAGUAUGAUAUGAGUGGU